UAACGUGUCACAGACUCGGUCAUAAUUUUAACUAAUUUCUCCCCUCAACUUUUUGCUCUUUGAUAUUGUUCUGUGUGAUCUCUGUUUUUUUGGUUUUGUUUGAUGUUGUUUCUUUUGUUUUUCUUUUGUAGCUCAUUUCCUUAGAUCUAAUCAUAGUAAAUCAAUCCAAAUCUAGAGAGAACAUGGAUCAAAAGGCGCGAGACACCAUUGCAGCGCUAGGAAUCUUGAAUUCAAGCUUGUUGAUGCAUCUCCAACAUCUAUUAACCUUAUUUUCUUAGUCAUACAUUCUAUGGGUAACUAAACCCUCUUUUGUGUUGGGAUUGGAUGUAAAU
rnacentral:lncRNA from 1 species